GACAGAGGAGCCAAGCGUUGUCCGGAGUGACUGGGCGUAAAGCGCACGCAGGCGGUUCUGUGCGUGAGGUGUGAAAGCUCUCGGCUCAACUGAGAGAGGCCACCUCAUACGGCAGAGCUCGAGCCCUGCAGAGGUCCACGGAAUUGCCGGUGUAGUGGUGAAAUGCGUAGAUAUCAGGAGGAACACCGGUGGUGCAAACGGCUUUCUGGACCGUAACUGACGCUGAGACACGAAAGCGUGGGGAGCAAACAGG
rnacentral:rRNA from 1 species